UAGGGAAUCUUCCACAAUGGGCGAAAGCCUGAUGGAGCAACGCCGCGUGUGUGAUGAAGGGUUUCGGCUCGUAAACACUGUUGUAAGAGAAGAAUGACAUUGAGAGUAACUGUUCAAUGUGUGACGGUAUCUUAUCAGAAAGGAACGGCUAAAUACGUGCCAG
rnacentral:rRNA from 1 species